GAUGGGAACUCCCGAAAGUCAUUACUCCAACCGUGAGGGGGAGGAUGCCUAAGGCAGUGCUGGUGACUGGGGUGAAGUCGUAACAAGGUAGCCGUACCGGAAGGUGUGGCUGGAUCACCUCCUUUU
rnacentral:rRNA from 1 species